rnacentral:rRNA from 1 species
UACGUAGGGAGCAAGCGUUGUCCGGAAUCAUUGGGCGGAGAGCGCGCGUAGGCGGCCCCGUAAGUCCGCUGUGAAAGUCAAAGGCUCAACCUUUGAAAGCCGGUGGAUACUGUGGGGCUAGAGUCCGGAAGAGGCGAGUGGAAUUCCUGGUGUAGCGGUGGAAUGCGCAGAUAUCAGGAGGAACACCAAUAGCGAAGGCAGCUCGCUGGGACGGUACUGACGCUAAGGCGCGAAAGCGUGGGGAGCGAACAGG